rnacentral:lncRNA from 1 species
AAUGGCGUAUGGGCAAAAAGCUAUCGAUGGCCUUGGAAUGAAGGGUUCGCUUUGCCAGGCCGCCAGGUCCCAUGAAGAUUUACCUGAUACCGAAUAUUCGUAAAAAAAAUCAUCCACGGAAGUUAUCAACUAGUUGGGAUUUUUAUUGGGCUGGCGAUGUAACCUGGCGUAACCGCGCCCGCCAAAAGCAGUGGUCUCCCAUAGCUUUCACGCAGUGACAAUUAAUCGAUUUAUAAUACUCAAGUAAGUUUCAACUUCUUUUGUCGAUUUUCCACCGGUCCAUCCCCACCGGGCGCUCUGCUCUUGCUCUGUUCGGGUUCCUCACUGACCGCUCGCCUGGUGGCAGCCGGCCGGGCCAUAACCGAAAUUGCAUUCGUUUGAUUUACCUACAAGACCGAAUGGACACAUCCUUUUGAGAUAUUUGAUAUGAUGGAUCUUGUACGCGCUAUUGUGUAUCUCUAGCCUGCUUUGGCGCAGAGUCCAAUAAGACCAAUAAGAGUCCAAUAAUGUUGCAAGAGCUCGUUGUUGGGGCCAAAGCUCCCCAGGUGAUUCUCAGGUGACAUGGCCUUCAGCUACCGGAUCCGUCGGCCUAACAUCCGCCACGCGCCGCAUUCUCAUCUGCUUCCUGAACUGGAUUGCAUUGCAAAGGUCGGCCCGACACACCAGCUCCUGGUAAACUAACAAGCUCAAAAGGGCCUAACCAGAGCGCCACACAUGCGGAAAAAGUCGCGCGUGUGUGUGUGAAUGUGAAGGGUUACAAGUAUCUGACCCAGAGCCUGACAUUGGCCUAAGCUCUCUCCCACGGACGGGCCCGGGAGAGGGCGCGCAUCAGGCCCACAGGCAUCCAGUCAGACCCAUGGGAGCCUAGUUAGGCUAAUUAACUCCAAAACGGAUGAAAC